UACGGAGGGUGCGAGCGUUGUCCGGAAUCACUGGGCGUAAAGGGCGCGUAGGCGGACUCUUAAGUGAGGGGUGAAAGGUUCAGGGCUCAACCCGAACACUGCCUUUCAUACUGGGAGUCUUGAGUACGGGAGAGGCGAGUGGAAUGGUCGGUGUAGCGGUGAAAUGCGUAGAUAUCGAUCGGAACACCCAUGGCGAAGGCAGCUCGCUGGCCUGUAACUGACGCUGAGGUGCGAAAGCGUGGGGAGCAAACAGG
rnacentral:rRNA from 1 species